UCUCCUGGAAAACGGGUGGUAAUGCCGGAUGCUCCGACUCCUCGCAUGGGGUGUCGGGAAAGAUUUCAUCGGUAUGGGAUGGGGUCGCGUCCUAUCAGGUAGUCGGCGGGGUAACGGCCCACCGAGCCUACGACGGGUAGCCGGCCUGAGAGGGCGACCGGCCACAUUGGGACUGAGAUACGGCCCAGACUCCUACGGGAGGCAGCAGUGGGGAAUAUUGCACAAUGGGCGCAAGCCUGAUGCAGCGACGCCGCGUGCGGGAUGACGGCCUUCGGGUUGUAAACCGCUUUUGAUCGGGAGCAAGCCUUCGGGUGAGUGUACCUUUCGAAUAAGCACCGGCUAACUACGUGCCAGCAGCCGCGGUAAUACGUAGGGUGCAAGCGUUAUCCGGAAUUAUUGGGCGUAAAGGGCUCGUAGGCGGUUCGUCGCGUCCGGUGUGAAAGUCCAUCGCUUAACGGUGGAUCUGCGCCGGGUACGGGCGGGCUGGAGUGCGGUAGGGGAGACUGGAAUUCCCGGUGUAACGGUGGAAUGUGUAGAUAUCGGGAAGAACACC
rnacentral:rRNA from 1 species